rnacentral:lncRNA from 1 species
AAUCUUGAUUUCAUUUGAAGUGAUAAUGCACCCAGAACAAAGAAUGCUACCAGUCUCCUUUGAAGCUAUGUUUGGCCAUAUGACUAAGUUCAGGCUUAUGACGUCAAGGACGAUAGGCCUGAGUGUGAAGUUAAGAGAAUGGAAGAGAAGAUAGACAAUGGAAUGCCAAUCUCAAAACAAAUCAUUGAAAAUUGAGAUGAAAAUGCCAAAUGUCUGCAUUCAUAUAAUGGAAAUAAUCGAGCUGUGGACAAUCAUCUAUGCUUUUGAUCAUUCUGGGAUUAGAGGAAUUCCUUACACUUAUGGAAUUCAACUGUGUCAAAA